UAAAUCAGUUAUCGUUUAUUUGAUAGUACCUUACUACUUGGAUAUCCGUGGUAAUUCUAGAGCUAAUACAUGCUUACAGCCCCGACUUCUGGAAGGGGCGAGUUUAUUAGAUAAAAAGCCGACGUUGUUGGUGAUUCAUGAUAACCUUUCGAAUCGCGAGUAAUCGCGAUGGUUCAUUCAAAUUUCUGCCCUAUCAAUUGAACCGUAGGGUAGUGGCCUACGGUGAUUUCUACGGGUAACGGGGAAUAAGGGUUCGAUUCCGGAGAGGGAGCCUGAGAAACGGCUACCACAUCCAAGGAAGGCAGCAGGCGCGCAAAUUACCCAAUCCCGACACGGGGAGGUAGUGACAAUAAAUAACGAUGCGGGGCACGUAUGUGUUUCGCAAUUGGAAUGAGUACAAUGUAAAUACCUUAACGAGGAACAAUUGGAGGGCAAGCCUGGUGCCAGCAGCCGCGGUAAUUCCAGCUCCAAAAGCGUAUAUUAAAGUUGUUGCAGUUAAAAAGCUCGUAGUUGAUUUUCGACGCAUCUGAGGGGUCCACUUCGGUGCGUACUCUGAGGGUGCGUUUUCUCUGGGGCGCCUUGCGGCAAGCCAGACUGUUACUUUGAAAAAAUUAGAGUGUUCAAAGCGGGCGAUAGCUUGAAUAUAUUAGCAUGGAAUAAUAGAAUAGGACGGAUGGAUCUAUUUUGUUGGUUUCUAGAACCAUCGUAAUGAUUAAUGGGCAUCGGCGGGGGCAUCGGUAUUCAAAUGUCA
rnacentral:rRNA from 2 species